rnacentral:lncRNA from 1 species
GUAAAUGGUUUACUCUGCCCCUGUGCCCCAUGUAACAGUUUUGAGAGCGACCACUUUUUCUGCAUCUGACCUUCAUUUAUCCGGUUGUUUAUUCACCCAGGACUACACACAUUCCAGCUUGGCAGCAGGGAUGUGGGAACGGUUGAUGAUGGAUUAACAAAGGAAGACAUUGGGAUUGGUUUAAAGCCAGAAGAUGAACUUUGUGAUUUGGGUCAAGAUAUCCUCAGAACUGUAUCCAGCUCGGGAUGGAGGUGGGUUGAGGUCACACUGCCCCAUAUAUCUCAAGUUCAUCACAGUAGUGCAGAAUUCUUCCCAAAGAGCAAAUGAAGCACGCUGCAAGCCGUGUGUGUGUGUAGUGUGAGCGAGAGUCAUUGGUGUAUGUGUGGGUGUGUGGAGAGAGAGAGAGAGACACAUAGACUGAGCCCCUAACACGGAGCAUGCCUCUGCGUCCGGCAGCCGGCAAACAUGAGCCACCCAGCCCUCCAUGGCAGGACCAGCAGCAGCAGC